AAAGAAAACGGAACGAAAACUCUUUUGAAAACGUGCGUGGCUGCAAGAAAUAAUAAUAAUAAUAAAAAAAAAGAACAAAUCAAAUUACGAAAAUGUGAUCGUCUCGUGUGAUGUGUCUGGUCUCUGGUGUCGUAGCUCUCCAUGCUCUCCACUCGAUGCUUUUUGGCGGAUUUGAGGCCAUCGUAACACCAUGAUACACAAGUUCUGCUUGUGCUGAGUCUAUCACCAGUCUGUCUGUAUUACCUGUCAUCACCAAAUAUCUCAGCAUCACCGCUUAGAUACACAGCAUUCCAUUGCAUUGGAAAAACUACCGGUGUCAAUCGAGUUACGGAUCCCUUUUUUCCCCUUUCUUUAAAUGUCCUCGUGUACGCCCAUGUGAAUGUGGGUGUAUUCACGAGGACACCCUUUACCCUAUCCCGUCUGGUGUAAUUCAACUCUUCAACGGAU